UACAGAGGUGCCGAGCGUUAGGCGGAAUCACUGGGCUUAAAGCGUGUGUAGGCGGAUGCCUAAGUACCUUGUGAAAUCCCACAGCUCAACUGUGGAACUGCUUGGUAUACUGGGUGUCUUGAGCCACUUAGGGGCUACCGGAACAAAUGGUGGAGCGGUGAAAUGCGUAGAUAUCAUUUGGAACGCCAAUGGUGAAAACAGGUAGCUGGGAGUGUGCUGACGCUGAGACACGAAAGCCAGGGGAGCAAACGGG
rnacentral:rRNA from 1 species